GAUGAACGCUGGCGGCGUGCCUAAUACAUGCAAGUCGAGCGAACAGAUGAGGGGCUUGCUCCUCUGACGUUAGCGGCGGACGGGUGAGUAACACGUGGAUAACCUACCUAUAAGACUGGGAUAACUUCGGGAAACCGGAGCUAAUACCGGAUAAUAUAUUGAACCGCAUGGUUCAAUAGUGAAAGACGGUUUUGCUGUCACUUAUAGAUGGAUCCGCGCCGCAUUAGCUAGUUGGUAAGGUAACGGCUUACCAAGGCAACGAUGCGUAGCCGACCUGAGAGGGUGAUCGGCCACACUGGAACUGAGACACGGUCCAGACUCCUACGGGAGGCAGCAGUAGGGAUUCUUCCGCAAUGGGCGAAAGCCUGACGGAGCAACGCCGCGUGAGUGAUGAAGGUCUUCGGAUCGUAAAACUCUGUUAUUAGGGAAGAACAAAUGUGUAAGUAACUAUGCACGUCUUGACGGUACCUAAUCAGAAAGCCACGGCUAACUACGUG
rnacentral:rRNA from 1 species